rnacentral:sRNA from 1 species
UUUUAGUGUGUUUUCAGGUAUUCUAUGCAAUGGGACAACAAUGGAGAUAAGGAGACAUUUUGGAGCAAAAGCUAAGAAAAAGGAAGCUAAGGACGAUUUUGGUCCAGGAAUCAGCGAGGAGUGUCGACCGACACACUCUUGGUGUCA